GACGAACGCUGGCGGCGUGCCUAAUACAUGCAAGUUGAGCGCUGAAGGUUGGUACUUGUACCAACUGGAUGAGCAGCGAACGGGUGAGUAACGCGUGGGGAAUCUGCCUUUGAGCGGGGGACAACAUUUGGAAACGAAUGCUAAUACCGCAUAAAAACUUUAAACACAAGUUUUAAGUUUGAAAGAUGCAAUUGCAUCACUCAAAGAUGAUCCCGCGUUGUAUUAGCUAGUUGGUGAGGUAAAGGCUCACCAAGGCGAUGAUACAUAGCCGACCUGAGAGGGUGAUCGGCCACAUUGGGACUGAGACACGGCCCAAACUCCUACGGGAGGCAGCAGUAGGGAAUCUUCGGCAAUGGACGAAGGUCUGACCGAGCAACGCCGCGUGAGUGAAGAAGGUUUUCGGAUCGUAAAACUCUGUUGGUAGAGAAGAACGUUGGUGAGAGUGGAAAGCUCAUCAAGUGACGGUAACUACCCAGAAAGGGACGGCUAACUACGU
rnacentral:rRNA from 1 species